rnacentral:rRNA from 1 species
AAGUUUAUUAGAGGUAGAGCUACUGAUUGGGUGCGGGGGAGUCAAAUCCUACCAAAUCCAGACAAACUCCGAAUGCUAAUAAAUAUACACUGCAGUGAGGCCCGGGGUGCUAAGGUCACGGGCCGAGAGGGAAAGAACCCAGACCAUCAGCUAAGGUCCCCAAGUUACUACUAAGUUGAACUAACGAGGUGCGAUUGCCUAGACAGCUAGGAUGUUGGCUUGGAAGCAGCCAUUCAUUUAAAGAGUGCGUAACAGCUCACUAGUCGAGCGAUCGUGCAUGGAUAAUAAACGGGCAUAAAGUAGUACACCGAAGCUAUGGGUAAUAUGUGAAUAUUACGGUAGGGGAGCAUUCCAGCGGCAGCGAAGUUAUGACGUAAGUUGUGGUGGAGCUUCUGGAAAAGCAAAUGUAGGCAUAAGUAACGAUAAGGCAGGCGAGAAACCUGCCCACCGAAAGGAUAAGGUUUCCUGAUCAACGCUAAUCGGAUCAGGGUUAGUCGGGGCCUAAGGAGAACCCGAAGGGGAAAUUCGAUGGACAACUGGUUAAUAUUCCAGUACUUUUUAUAACUGCGAUGUGGGGACGGAGUAGUGACACUGCCGCGAUCUGACGGAAUAGAUCGUUAAAGACUGUAGGUAUUGGAGAGGUAGGCAAAUCCGCCACUCUAGCUAAAGGUCGAUAGUACCGCAAGCCUUCGGGUAAGUGGAUAGCGCAGGUAAUCAGACUUCCAAGAAAAACCGCUAAGCUUCAGGUUAUAAAAACCCGUACCGCAAACCGACACAGGUAUCCGGGAAGAGAAUUCUAAGGUGCUCGAGUGAAUCAUGGCUAAGGAACUCGGCAAAAUGGCCCUGUAACUUCGGGAGAAGGGGCGCUGACAGCAAUGUCAGCCGCAGUGAAAAGGCCCAGGCGACUGUUUAACAAAAACACAUGGCUUUGCAAAAUCGAAAGAUGAAGUAUAAGGCCUGACACCUGCCCGGUGCUGGAAGGUUAAGAGGGGAUGUCAUCUGUUAAAGGAGAAGCAUUGAAUCGAAGCCCCAGUAAACGGCGGCCGUAACUAUAACGGUCCUAAGGUAGCGAAAUUCCUUGUCGGGUAAGUUCCGACCUGCACGAAUGGUGUAACGAUCUGGGCGCUGUCUCAGCCAUGAGCUCGGUGAAAUUGUGGUCCCGGUGAAGACGCCGGGUACCCGCAACGGGACGGAAAGACCCCAUGCACCUUCACUACAAUUUAACAUUGACAUUGGAUACAGGAUGUGUAGGAUAGGUGGGAGACUAUGAAGGGGCGUCGCUAGGCGUUCUGGAGUCAACGUUGAAAUACCACCCUUUUUGUAUUCGGUGUCUAACCCCUUUCGGGGGGGACAUUGUUUGAUGGGUAGUUUGACUGGGGUGGUCGCCUCCAAAAAGGUAACGGAGGCUUUCAAAGGUAAGCUCAAUACGCUUGGUAACCGUAUGAGGAGUGCAAUAGCAUAAGCUUGCUUGACUGUGAGGCAGACAAGCCGAGCAGGGUCGAAAGACGGAUAUAGUGAUCCGGUGGUUCUGCAUGGAAGGGCCAUCGCUCAAAGGAUAAAAGGUACGCUGGGGAUAACAGGCUGAUCUCCCCCAAGAGCUCAUAUCGACGGGGAGGUUUGGCACCUCGAUGUCGGCUCGUCACAUCCUGGGGCUGGAGAAGGUCCCAAGGGUUCGGCUGUUCGCCGAUUAAAGUGGCACGCGAGCUGGGUUCAGAACGUCGCGAGACAGUUCGGUCCCUAUCUGUUGUGGGCGUAGGAAUUUUGAGUGGGGCUGACCUUAGUACGAGAGGACCGGGUUGGACUAACCUCUAGUGAAUCUGUUGUUCCGCCAGGGGCAUUGCAGAGUAGCUACGUUGGGAAUAGAUAAGCGCUGAAAGCAUCUAAGUGCGAAACUAGCCACGAGAUGAGAAUUCCAUAUAGGACCGUAGCAGACUACUACGUUGAUAGGUUACAGAUGUAAAGCUGGUGACAGCAUAGUCGAGUAAUACUAAUCAUCCGAAGCUUUCAAGAG